rnacentral:rRNA from 1 species
UACGAAGGGUGCAAGCGUUAAUCGGAAUUACUGGGCGUAAAGGGUGCGUAGGCGGUUGUUUAAGUCUGUCGUGAAAUCCCCGGGCUCAACCUGGGAAUGGCGAUGGAUACUGGGCAGCUAGAGUGUGUCAGAGGAUGGUGGAAUUCCCGGUGUAGCGGUGAAAUGCGUAGAGAUCGGGAGGAACACCAGUGGCGAAGGCGGCCUUCUGGACCAAUACUGACGCUCAUGCACGAAAGCGUGGGGAGCGAACAGG